rnacentral:rRNA from 1 species
GGCGGCGUGCUUAACACAUGCAAGUCGAACGGAAAGGCCCUGCUUUUGUGGGGUGCUCGAGUGGCGAACGGGUGAGUAACACGUGAGUAACCUGCCCUUGACUUUGGGAUAACUUCAGGAAACUGGGGCUAAUACCGGAUAGGAGCUCCUGCUGCAUGGUGGGGGUUGGAAAGUUUCGGCGGUUGGGGAUGGACUCGCGGCUUAUCAGCUUGUUGGUGGGGUAGUGGCUUACCAAGGCUUUGACGGGUAGCCGGCCUGAGAGGGUGACCGGCCACAUUGGGACUGAGAUACGGCCCAGACUCCUACGGGAGGCAGCAGUGGGGAAUAUUGCACAAUGGGCGGAAGCCUGAUGCAGCAACGCCGCGUGCGGGAUGACGGCCUUCGGGUUGUAAACCGCUUUCGCCUGUGACGAAGCGUGAGUGACGGUAAUGGGUAAAGAAGCACCGGCUAACUACGUGCCAGCAGCCGCGGUGAUACGUAGGGUGCGAGCGUUGUCCGGAUUUAUUGGGCGUAAAGGGCUCGUAAGUGGUUGAUCGCGUCGGAAGUGUAAUCUUGGGGCUUAACCCUGAGCGUGCUUUCGAUACGGGUUGACUUGAGGAAGGUAGGGGAGAAUGGAAUUCCUGGUGGAGCGGUGGAAUGCGCAGAUAUCACGAGGAACACCAGUGGCGAAGGCGGUUCUCUGGGCCUUUCCUGACGCUGAGGAGCGAAAGCGUG